rnacentral:tRNA from 1 species
GCGGGGGUGGCCGAGCGGUCAAAGGCGUCGGACUUAAGAUCCGAUGGGCGAAGGCCCUGCGCGGGUUCGACUCCCGCCCCCCGCA